UACGUAGGGUGCAAGCGUUAUCCGGAAUUAUUGGGCGUAAAGAGCUCGUAGGCGGUUUGUCGCGUCUGCUGUGAAAACUGGAGGCUCAACCUCCAGCCUGCAGUGGGUACGGGCAGACUAGAGUGCGGUAGGGGAGAUUGGAAUUCCUGGUGUAGCGGUGGAAUGCGCAGAUAUCAGGAGGAACACCGAUGGCGAAGGCAGAUCUCUGGGCCGAUACUGACGCUGAGGAGCGAAAGCGUGGGGAGCGAACAGG
rnacentral:rRNA from 1 species